rnacentral:lncRNA from 1 species
AGUGAAGAGGCAUUUGAUUUGAUGCUGUUUUGGAUCCUAUUCUGAAGUUGCCCGAUUGUUAUUAAGAAAAGUAGCUACGAUUGAUGAGUUUGGCAACUUUAUUUAUCACUUGUUGGAAGAAAGUUUUGAUGAUGUUGAAUCUGAUUUUAACAAUUUUCUUGAGUUAUCGUUCAAUCUACUAUGUAGACUUUGAUCUGUUACUCCCCUUCUCUUGGUUGAAUUUCCAUAUUCCUGUGUUAAUUACUUUCU